GAAAUGCGUAGAUAUAUGGAGGAACACCAGUGGCGAAGGCGGCUCUCUGGUCUGUAACUGACGCUGAGGCUCGAAAGCGUGGGGAGCGAACAGGAUUAGAUACCCUGGUAGUCCACGCCGUAAACGAUGAGUGCUAAGUGUUGGAGGGUUUCCGCCCUUCAGUGCUGCAGCAAACGCAUUAAGCACUCCGCCUGGGGAGUACGACCGCAAGGUUGAAACUCAAAGGAAUUGACGGGGGCCCGCACAAGCGGUGGAGCAUGUGGUUUAAUUCGAAGCAACGCGAAGAACCUUACCAGGUCUUGACAUCCUUUGACCACUCUAGAGAUAGAGCUUCCCCUUCGGGGGCAAAGUGACAGGUGGUGCAUGGUUGUCGUCAGCUCGUGUCGUGAGAUGUUGGGUUAAGUCCCGCAACGAGCGCAACCCUUAUUGUUAGUUGCCAUCAUUUAGUUGGGCACUCUAGCGAGACUGCCGGUGACAAACCGGAGGAAGGUGGGGAUGACGUCAAAUCAUCAUGCCCCUUAUGACCUGGGCUACACACGUGCUACAAUGGGAAGUACAACGAGUUGCGAAGUCGCGAGGCUAAGCUAAUCUCUUAAAGCUUCUCUCAGUUCGGAUUGUAGGCUGCAACUCGCCUACAUGAAGCCGGAAUCGCUAGUAAUCGCGGAUCAGCACGCCGCGGUGAAUACGUUCCCGGGCCUUGUACACACCGCCCGUCACACCACGAGAGUUUGUAACACCCGAAGUCGGUGAGGUAACC
rnacentral:rRNA from 1 species